rnacentral:misc_RNA from 1 species
GAUGAAGAACGCAGCGAAAUGCGAUACUUGGUGUGAAUUGCAGAAUCCCGUGAACCAUCGAGUCUUUGAACGCAAGUUGCGCCCGAAGCCAUUAGGCCGAGGGCACGCCUGCCUGGGCGUCACACGUCGUUGCCCCCCCAUCUACUCCUUCGGGAUUGCGGGGGGCGGAUGAUGGCCUCCCGUGCGCCUCGUCGCGCGGUUGGCAUAAAUGCCAAGUCCUCGGCGACGCACGCCACGACAAUCGGUGGUUGCGAAACCUCGGUUGCCCGUCGUGUGCGGUCGUCGCGCAUCGAGGGCUCGAAAAAAUUGCCGAGUUCCGGCUCGGCUUUCAACGCGACCCCAGGUCAGGCGGGGUUACCCGCUGAAUUUAAGCAUAUCAAUAAGCGGAGGA